GAUGAACGCUAGCGAUAGGCCUAACACAUGCAAGUCGAGGGGCAGCACAUGAUGUAGCAAUACUGAUGGUGGCGACCGGCGCACGGGUGAGUAACACGUAUGCAACCUACCUUCAACAGGAGAAUAACCCGUCGAAAGACGGACUAAUACUCCAUAACACAGGGAUCCCUCAUGGGAAUAUUUGUUAAAGAUUUAUCGGUUGAAGAUGGGCAUGCGCUCCAUUAGCUAGUUGGUGAGGUAACGGCUCACCAAGGCAACGAUGGAUAGGGGAACUGAGAGGUUUAUCCCCCACACUGGUACUGAGACACGGACCAG
rnacentral:rRNA from 1 species